GAUGAACGCUGGCGGCGUGCUUAACACAUGCAAGUCGAACGGAAAGGCCAGUGCUUGCACUGGUACUCGAGUGGCGAACGGGUGAGUAACACGUGGGUGAUCUGCCCUGCACUUCGGGAUAAGCCUGGGAAACUGGGUCUAAUACCGGAUAGGACAAUGGUUUGGAUGCCGUUGUGGAAAGUUUUUUCGGUGUGGGAUGAGCUCGCGGCCUAUCAGCUUGUUGGUGGGGUAAUGGCCUACCAAGGCGUCGACGGGUAGCCGGCCUGAGAGGGUGUACGGCCACAAUGGGACUGAGAUACGGCCCAGAGUCCUACGGGAGGCAGCAGUGGGGAAUAUUGCACAAUGGGCGCAAGCCUGAUGCAGCGACGCCGCGUGGGGGAUGACGGCCUUCGGGUUGUAAACUCCUUUCGCUAGGGACGAAGCGUAUUUGUGACGGUACCUGGAGAAGAAGCACCGGCUAACUACGUG
rnacentral:rRNA from 1 species